CAUGUAUUAAACUGUAGAAGGAUAUGGUGCAGAAGGAUAUGGUAACAUGUAUUAAACUGUAGAAGGAUAUGGUAACAGGUAUUAAACUGUAGAAGGAUAUGGUGCAGAAGGAUAUGGUAACAUGUAUUAAACUGUAGAAGGAUAUGGUGCAGACGGAUAUGGUAACAGGUAUUAAACUGUAGAAGGAUAUGGUGCAGAAGGAUAUGGUAACAUGUAUUAAACUGUAGAAGGAUAUGGUGCAGACGGAUAUGGUAACAGGUAUUAAACUGUAGAAGGAUAUGGUGCAGAAGGAUAUGGUAACAUGUAUUAAACUGUAGAAGGAUAUGGUGCAGAAGGAUAUGGUAACAUGUAUUAAACUGUAGAAGGAUAUGGUAACAGGUAUUAAACUGUAGAAGGAUAUGGUGCAGAAGGAUAUGGUAACAUGUAUUAAACUGUAGAAGGAUAUGGUGCAGACGGAUAUGGUAACAGGUAUUAAACUGUAGAAGGAUAUGGUGCAGAAGGAUAUGGUAACAUGUAUUAAACUGUAGAAGGAUAUGGUGCAGAAGGAUAUGGUAACAGGUAUUAAACUGUAGAAGGAUAUGGUAACAGGUAU